GAUGAACGCUGGCGAGAUGCCUUACACAUGCAAGUCGUACGAGAAUCUUUGAUUCAAGUGGCGGACGGGUGAGUAACACGUAAGAAUUUACCUUUAGGAGGGGGAUAAAAUACCCCAUAUGCUUUUGAGUGAAACGGAGUUUUCCGCCUAGAGAGAAGCUUGCGGCUGAUUAGCUUGUUGGUGAGGUAAUGGCUUACCAAGGCGACGAUCAGUAUCUGGUUUGAGAGGACGAUCAGACACACUGGAACUGAGACACGGUCCAGACUCCUACGGGAGGCAGCAGUGGGGAAUUUUCCGCAAUGGGCGAAAGCCUGACGGAGCAAUCUCGCGUGAGGGAUGACUGCCUAUGGGUUGUAAACCUCUUUUUUCAGGGUAGGAAGAAAAUGACGUGUACCUGAAGAAUAAGCAUCGGCUAACUCCGUGCCAGCCGCCGCGGUAAU
rnacentral:rRNA from 1 species